AGAGGCUCCCAUAGAGGGGAGCUCUUAAGAGGAACCUGAGCCAGAGGGCUGAAUACCUAAAAGGUGAACUCUCUGGGGAACCUGCCAGGCUGGGGAGCCUGUAAGAGGUGCUCCUGGAAAGGGGAGCCUCUGAGAUAGAAGGCUUUACCAUUCAUGUCUCCAGACACUGGCUCCAAGUCCAGCCUGGCAAGGAUCACCUGCUGUCCCUGGAAAAGAGUUGCAGUGGAUAGACCUCCCUGGAACCCAGAUUCCAGAGAAGAACAUUACUCUAUUAGGGGCAAGAUUAUGGGUAGAGGCUGGAACCAGGGAGGAAGAGCAUGGGUAGAGGUGAACGUGACUCAGAUUGUUAGAGCUGAAUUCAGUGAUGGCCAGGUCUAAGUGCUAGGCUUACAUCUUCUGUGGGGCAGUAUCUCCAGUGAAAGAGAAUGACCAGCCUACGCUAGUAGUGAGGCUUCCCCCCCUCCCCCGCCCCACGUUGAAAUCACUGUGUUAAGUGGUGGGACCUUGAGACAGAGUGAAGCAGGUGGAGUGGAUGAAGAUGUGGCAGCAGGCAUUCAUGCAGAGCGCAUGGCGCAGCAGCAGUUGAAGAAUUGUUUGACACCUCCCAUAUACACACUGUGGGGUGGAAGGAGAAUCCACCUCUGGAUCUUUGCUGACCAAGGACAAAAACUCAUCCUAUAUUAGGAGAUGUAGUAUGGGCUCAUCUUUGCCAGGGGAAGAGGCCACUGGUUCUUUCUAUGGUGGCCAGCCAGUUUUUCCCUAUCCUGCCUCUCUAC